rnacentral:rRNA from 1 species
AGUGAACGCUGGCGGUAGGCCUAACACAUGCAAGUCGAACGGCAGCACAGUAAGAGCUUGCUCUUACGGGUGGCGAGUGGCGGACGGGUGAGGAAUACAUCGGAAUCUACUUUUUCGUGGGGGAUAACGUAGGGAAACUUACGCUAAUACCGCAUACGACCUACGGGUGAAAGCAGGGGAUCUUCGGACCUUGCGCGAUUGAAUGAGCCGAUGUCGGAUUAGCUAGUUGGCGGGGUAAAGGCCCACCAAGGCGACGAUCCGUAGCUGGUCUGAGAGGAUGAUCAGCCACACUGGAACUGAGACACGGUCCAGACUCCUACGGGAGGCAGCAGUGGGGAUUAUUGGACAAUGGGCGCAAGCCUGAUCCAGCCACACCGCGUGGGUGAAGAAGGCCUUCGGGUUGUAAAGCCCUUUUGUUGGGAAAGAAAAGCAGCAGGUUAAUACCCCGCUGUUCUGACGGUACCCAAAGAAUAAGCACCGGCUAACUUCGUG